CAUACUUGAAUCUGCAAGAAUAAUUUGCUUAAUAAUUUGUUUAUUUUUAAUCAGUAUCAAUAGCUAAGUCCAUCAAAAUUCACCCCUCUUAGAUCGAGAAUUCGGCCCAAAGGUUGAAUGAGCGAAGACUAAUCUGAGUUGUGUUUCUCAAAUUUUUAUAAAAUAGCCUGAUGGGAAAUGAAGGUCACAAAUUCGAUCUUUGUUAUAUCGCCAGAAACUAUGAAAAUCGUAUGAAAAUUUGGUUAUAUCAAUAUCAAAUAUCUUUAAAAAAAAACUUAAGAAGUUGAACUCGAAUGCAUUUAUUUAUUGGCAAACGGAUAACGUGAACUUAAACUCUUAUUUUACUUAAGCCUGGAUGUAAAAUUAAACGCGAGGCGAAUAAUUGGGAAAUUUAUAGAGAAAAUUUGAAGCGAAAAACACGGGAAAUACUUGUUGCAAAUAAACGAGAACAUGAUUAGGAAAA